rnacentral:tRNA from 1 species
CGAUCGGUUUAGCCGAUAUGACCUUUCCCGUGCUUUUUAGAACAAGAUCGGACCAGUCAGGUCACGAUCGCAACGAAAUACGUCACGGAAGCGUAAUGCUCCGAUGAUAUGGCGAGCCUCGCCGUCCACGUUUCUCUUUCUUCAAGAAGACAAAGAACCGCGUCGAUCCGGAUGGUUUAUGGCUGUCUGGACCGGUUUGACGAGAAUGGGCCCGUAGCUCAGUUGGUUAGAGCACACGCUUGAUAAGCGUGGGGUCGGAAGUUCAAGUCUUCCCGGGCCCACCAUGCUUUGCCGUUUGGCUACGCGUGGCGCAGCCGGGAAAGAACGGUGACGCGGAAGUUGCCGAACCCUGGUUUAAGAUCGGGGCGAUCGAGCUGAUGGGGCUGUAGCUCAGCUGGGAGAGCACCUGCUUUGCAAGCAGGGGGUCAGCGGUUCGAUCCCGCUCAGCUCCACCAAAUCGAUUGGUGUCGAGACUGACGGCGAUGUCUUCUGAAGAAAUAAAGGUUUUGCAUCGGCCUUGGGGCUUGAUGCGUGUUCUGCAUACAUUGUGAAGAGAAGAUUGAUCUGGAGGCUUCCAGGUGUUUUGGGCAACCGUAGGGUUGUUCGAGGCGUCCGAGCCCGGUCUUUAUGAAACCAUGGAUGGCCUAGCCGGCCGGAUGUGGUGGAGAGAUCGGAGGUAGGAAGGAAGCUUGUCGCUCUGAGCCGUUGUUGUUGGUCCUCUUCGAGGGCUUCUGACGGACGGCUGGAUUACCGUUGCCUGACCGCGCGGUAUCGGAUCAAAUCUCGAGAAGCUGGUCUUAAAGAUAGACUGCAAGCGAGCUGCUCGGCGUAGCUCCAAUAAAGCAGGUCUAUCGAACACGUCGAUGGCAUUAUUGAUAGGCUGGGUUGUAAAAGGUAACCCGGUCUGUUGCUCGUUUCCUGACGGAAACGGCAACGAGAUGAUGAGCAUUGGCAAUGAGAACGAUCAAGUGUCGUAAGGGCAUUUAGUGGAUGCCUAGGCAUGCACAGGCGAUGAAGGACGUGAUACGCUGCGAAAAGCCG